CACAAGUGAGUUUCUUAUGAGGUGGCGAGCGGCGGACGGGUGAGUAAUGCCUAGGGAUCUGCCCAGUCGAGGGGGAUAACAGUUGGAAACGACUGCUAAUACCGCAUACGCCCUACGGGGGAAAGAGGGGGACUUUCGGGCCUCUCGCGAUUGGAUGAACCUAGGUGGGAUUAGCUAGUUGGUGAGGUAAUGGCUCACCAAGGCGACGAUCCCUAGCUGUUCUGAGAGGAUGAUCAGCCACACUGGGACUGAGACACGGCCCAGACUCCUACGGGAGGCAGCAGUGGGGAAUAUUGCACAAUGGGGGAAACCCUGAUGCAGCCAUGCCGCGUGUGUGAAGAAGGCCUUCGGGUUGUAAAGCACUUUCAGUAGGGAGGAAAGGGUAAGUCCUAAUACGGCUUAUCUGUGACGUUACCUACAGAAGAAGGACCGGCUAACUCCGUGCCAGCAGCCGCGGUAAUACGGAGGGUCCGAGCGUUAAUCGGAAUUACUGGGCGUAAAGCGUGCGCAGGCGGUUUGUUAAGCGAGAUGUGAAAGCCCUGGGCUCAACCUAGGAAUCGCAUUUCGAACUGACCAACUAGAGUCUUGUAGAGGGGGGUAGAAUUCCAGGUGUAGCGGUGAAAUGCGUAGAGAUCUGGAGGAAUACCGGUGGCGAAGGCGGCCCCCUGGACAAAGACUGACGCUCAUG
rnacentral:rRNA from 1 species